CUGUCUGUCUGUCUGUCUGUCUGUCUGUCUGUCUGUCUGUCUGUCCGUCCGUCCGUCCGUCCGUCCGUCCGUCCGUCCGUCCGUCCGUCCGUCCGUCCGUCCGUCCGUCCGUCCGUCCGUCCAUCCAUCCAUCCAUCCAUCCAUCCAUCCAUCCAUCCAUCCAUCCAUCCAAAAUAUAGACCCUUAUUGACCCUUUCAGUUAGUUUCAAAUUUGCACAUGUCAGCAAGCCCAUGUGGCAGUUUCCGUUUUUCUAUCUACAGUCAUUUCUUCCUCUUUCUCGUUUGUAUUCAUGGAACAAGUGAAAUUAAAUUUCCUAAUUAAUUAGUAACUGCUGACCAACGAUGCUCAAACUCAUUUUCUCAUUUACUUUUUCUCCUGUUUUUUUUUUCUUCUGCUGCCGCGUGGUUGAUCCUCAGUGGCCACAGCCUUGUGCCUGACAGUGAUGGUGUUGUUCCGCCGCUCACUGUUGGCCUGCUUCUCCUCCGACAGCAACCCAGCUCCUGACUCCUAAUUGGUGGAAACGCUAGCAGCAUCUGGUUCUGGCAAACACAGCGGUGACCAUACAGGAGAGGAGGCGGCGGUGGAGCAAACACCGUGUCGAGGCUGUGGUGACCAGUGGCUCCUGCCUGUCCGAUGGGCCGACAGACGCGCCUCAGCCCCCGAGGCUCAAUGCAGUUUGGAUUAGCCGGGAUGCUGCAGCACGGCUGUCACAAAGUGUUAAGGAGGCAACAAGAGGAACGGGAGCAAUAUGGGACACGUUCGACUCUUCUGCCAAACUCCCUUCACUUCACUAUGUGCUGUAUAUAUAGUUUCAGUCAACACUUGGAAGUACUGAACAAAACAUUCUCGAAUACACAAGUAGCCAGGUUCCUCUGUACAUGUUUGUAUACAUUAUUUCCUAUAUCUAAAUUAUAAUUUUGUUGCAUUAUCUGUGCUUCCUCAUUGAACCCAUGUUUUUACUUCACUGCAGAGACGGUAAUUACAAUCACACUAAACAGGCUUGAACCGUAUCAAACAUUAAUUAAUAUCAAAAUUAUUUGGGUUAUCCAUUGCUAAAACACGCGGUUUUUGCAUGCUAAUGCCACGUAUUCUGAAAAAUUCCUGCAAUUCAAUUACUCGGGAAUAUCAUUAAAGGCAACAAAUUUACAGUUUAAUUUGUGUGGACUAUUUAAGUCGCUGCAGAGCUGCAGAAUCCCCGUCCUCUGUAAGUGGAUUAAUUAAUUUGAAUCAAUAAAGUCUCUUAGUGGUGUUGCUCCCCCCCUAAAAAAACAACCCACUCCACUCAGAGCCUUAUCAGCUGCAGCUGAGGUCCAAGCCGUCGCUUCUCACCUCAGAAACCAGACAAUUAGUGGCAGAUGAAUUCUAGCUCGUCUUUUGCUUUGUGCAGUACAAUAAAUUUAUGCGUUGGUUUGUGGCAUGUUUUUAUUUUUUAUAAAAGCUUAUGUCACAUCUGCUCAUUCAAAGUGUUUUGCAUUUAUUCUAUGUUCAAUACACAAUAAACAUUUUAAAGUUACUAUUUAUAACUAU